GAAGGAUUCUGAGGUCCCAGGAUUUUGCUGUUCUUCAGCUGAUAUUUCUGUAUGCAUUGUUUUGGUUUGAUAGGUGGAAGUUUACUCUUUCUAAUAUUGCCAUUUUUCAGGAUCCUAUUGUGCUCCAUUUUUAGCUGUCAUACAUGUAAUUUUAUAAUUAUUCUAAUAGUUUCCUCAGUUAAUUUUACUUAGACUCAUUUAUUGAACUAACGACACAUUGGAGGGAAAGGUAACAUACUGCAUGUUGGGGGGCGGAUUCUUAAAUGUCUGCUUUUGUGAUUACACAUUUCCCCGACUCCUCAUUCUCCAGUGGCAGCCGAUUAGGAGGCCUGGUUACAGUGUUGUGCUUCUUUUUCAAUCAUGGAGAGUGUACCCGUGUAAUGUGGACACCACCUCUCCGUGAAAGCUUCUCAUAUCCAUUUCUUGUUCUUCAGAUGUUGCUAGUGACUCAUAUUCUCAGG
rnacentral:lncRNA from 1 species